rnacentral:tmRNA from 1 species
GGGGAUGACUGGCUUCGACGGGGAAGGCUGUGCCUGAACUGCAAGCCGAGUAUGCUUCUCACCUCGUAAAACUGGAAGCAAACCAAUAAGUGCGAACCGCACAACCUCUUACAACGCUCUCCCGUUGGCUGCGUAAGCAGCUGAUUGGGUAGCGGAGAGUCCUUGACCGGACUCGCGUCUGCCGUGGCCGCUCGUUGGCCGGGUACGUGUCAGGCGUCAUCAAAGUCAACGUGCGCCGCCGCGACGCCCAUAGCGGUGGGUAAGGGUCCUCUAGGGGGCCAUGGGCUAGCAAUCGUCGGACCCUGUUAGCCGGGGACGCGAGCGCGAAAGCUAAAUAGGCUGGCUAAGCUUGUAGACGUUCAGCGGACGAAUUCUUCGGACGCGGGUUCGAUUCCCGCCAUCUCCACCU